AUUGAACGCUGGCGGCAUGCCUUACACAUGCAAGUCGAACGGCAGCACGGGAGCAAUCCUGGUGGCGAGUGGCGAACGGGUGAGUAAUGUAUCGGAACGUACCUUUCAGUGGGGGAUAACGUAGCGAAAGUUACGCUAAUACCGCAUAUUCUGUGAGCAGGAAAGCAGGGGAUCGCAAGACCUUGCGCUGAUUGAGCGGCCGAUAUCAGAUUAGCUAGUUGGUGAGGUAAAGGCUCACCAAGGCGACGAUCUAUAGCGGGUCUGAGAGGAUGAUCCGCCACACUGGAACUGAGACACGGUCCAGACUCCUACGGGAGACAGCAGUGGGGAAUUUUGGACAAUGGGCGCAAGCCUGAUCCAGCCAUGCCGCGUGAGUGAAGAAGGCCU
rnacentral:rRNA from 1 species